GACGAACGCUGGCGGCGUGCUUAACACAUGCAAGUCGAACGGAAAGGCCCUGCUUUUGUGGGGUGCUCGAGUGGCGAACGGGUGAGUAACCCGGGAGUAACCUGCCCUGGACUUUGGGAUAACUUCAGGAAACUGGGGCUAAUACCGGAUAGGAGCUCCUGCUGCAUGGUGGGGGUUGGAAAGUUUCGGCGGUUGGGGAUGGACUCGCGGCUUAUCAGCUUGUUGGUGGGGUAGUGGCUUACCAAGGCUUUGACGGGUAGCCGGCCUGAGAGGGUGACCGGCGACAUUGGGACUGAGAUACGGCCCAGACUCCUACGGGAGGCAGCAGUGGGGAAUAUUGCACAAUGGGCGGAAGCCUGAUGAAGCAACGCCGCGUGCGGGAUGACGGCCUUCGGGUUGUAAACCGCUUUCGCCUGUGACGAAGCGUGAGUGACGGUAAUGGGUAAAGAAGCACCGGCUAACUACGUG
rnacentral:rRNA from 1 species